UUGGUGCCACGAGUCUCUUCCUGUCCUAUAAGAAGUAGAGGAGAGAAGAAAAGGAAGUCAGAGUGUAUGGAGCUAGUGGCACGGAUGAACUGUUUCUUGUCGUGUCUGGACUUACAGGUCCUAGUUUACCGUUUCUUCCCCACUUGCCCACCCCUGAGGCAGCCCGUGUUGUCUUCUUCCUGGAACAGCAGUGGCUUUCUUAGGUGGUGAUUUCCCCACAGUUUAGAAGGGUACGAUCAGAGGCAUUAUGGAUCAGAAUGGACAGAAAGCUGUAGCUGCUUAUAAAGUUGAGAAACUCACUAGGGGAAACAAUGGCAUCUUAGGGAUGCUCUUUAGGGAGGAGCCAGCUGGAGGGAGACCUGCAUCUUCCCUGUGUUCCCAACCUUUCUACCUCCCUGCUGCUGUAGACCCUCCCAUGCACCUUCCCUUUGUGCCAAACCUGUCUGUCUGUUUAACCCUAUAACACAACCAUAACAUUGCCAUAUGUCCCCUAUCUUCCAGGAAACGGAGGGAAUCCAGAUUGCAUGCUGUUCAAUAGUGACUUUCUGUUGUACAGGAGGAGAGGAGGGCGGUAGAAGGUAACCAGAUUCAGUGCUGAGGUGUGGGCCCUCUGUCUCAUCCCUGCCAACUUCCUCCUCUUGAACCUUGAACUUCUACCAACAUUUUUAGCUUCUACUCUGUACCAGGUAGGAGGCUGUGGGCUGGCCCGGCAGUGAAUCCAGAGCUGUGGCUGCUCUCAUGCUCUUGGGCCUUUUGGUCUGGGAAUAUCUUUAGUUUCCAAAUCCUUCAAAUCCCAAGCCGUUUUCUUUCCUCAAAUGAGAGAAAGGGAAUAGGCAGCAGGCUGGUUUAUUGGAUGUUUUCCUUCAUUUCUGACUCUGACAGCCAUCCUUCACAUCUGAUAGGGAGUCUUCACAAUAGUGAUGAAUUUAUUCAUUUUGACUGUUUGUGAAGCUCUCUAAUUAAUUCUUUAUAGAUUUCCAUCAGCGACUAAAUUUGUGUUUUGAGUUAAAAUUGGGCAUUCAGAGGAACUGCCUUGGGAUACUCUGCUCUCUCGGAGCCCCUCCUCCACACUGGCAGCUGCUGACCUCCUGUUCACUAAGCAACUGAGCAGCACCGUUUGCCUCAUAGUGACGCACCAGCAGGUGGUUACCAUGGAAUGAGACAGCAGCAAAGCACUGUCCCUGUCGUCAUGGAGCCCCUGAGCCAUCUCCUAAGCAACCUGGCAGGAGAUCCCCAAACAAAUCUAUGCUCUCUGCUCCACUGAGGUGUCAUUUUAUCUCAGUCCUCACUGCUGAGCACACACAGGCAAUGAUGAAAGUCACAGAAAGACUGUCCUGAAGGAAUCCCAGGAGAUUAACAUCGCCAUCUCCACCUUACAAACAAGGAAAAUGAGGCACAGGAGAUUUAAAUAAUUUCUCAGUGACAUUUAGCUAACGCAUGGCUAAGCACAACUUGGACCCACCGUUGUCUGUCUGACUCCAAAAUCUGAUUUCUUUCCCAUCAUCCUAGCUACUUCUCUGUAAUUUAUACAUUAGUCAGUUCUAGGGGCUUUAGCUUUUUCCAAAGAAGACCUAGUAGCAGAAUCUAUAGAAUCGUCAUUCACUGUCCAUACCAUGGCUUUACGAUGGCUCAGUGGCGAAAGAACUCGGCUCCGUGCCUCACAACCUGAGUGCAGUCUCUGGGACCUGCGUGGUGGAGACACAGAACAGACUUCUCCAAGUUGUCUUCUGACUUACAGGUGUGCAGCAUGGCAUAUUUGUACCCUCACAAGCAUAGAUAGGUGGACAGACACAUGCAAAAAAUUUUAAAAUGUAAUAAAAAAGGAUGUGAUC